CAUGGGUGCCCCCAGGCUUUCUGAGACAUUACUGGAUUUGGCCUCAGAUGGCAGCAAACAGAUGGGGGGAGUUAAAUUCCUCAGGGCCGAGAGUCAUGACUGUUAAUGAUCCUGGGUAAGCCGUGGGGCUUUCAGCCUCUUUGAGAAGCUGCCAACUAGUCCUUGGGGCCGAGCCUGGAAUCACAUCUGCCAGCUGUCCCUGAAAUGUUCCAGUUUGCCAUUCCUUAAACAUGCCUCCCAACCUGCUCCCCAAGGUUAGGACUUACCACUUGUAAGGCAGGGGAAAAGUGAAAGUGUUCGUCACUCAGUCGUGCCCGACUCUUUGCAACCGCAUGGACUGUAGCCCACCAGGCUCCUCUGUCCAUGGGAUUCUCCAGGCAAGAGUACUGGAGUGGGUUGCCAUUUCCUUCUCCCAGGGAUUGAACCUGGGUCUCCUGCAUUGCAGGCAGAUUUUUUACCAUCUGAGCCAGCAGGGAAGGCAGGAUGAGGGCCCUGACAACACCAACACCCAGCUUCAGAAGCCCCUGCCCAGGACCCAGUCGGCUCUUCCCUCCAGCUUUGCCUGAGGGGCAAGGAUGCUCGUGUGUGAGGCUUUGAAGUCCAGACCUGAUUGGAGAGAAAAAUAAUGCUUCGUGAAUAUAUUGCUUGAUCAACUCCUAGGAUUCAAACUGAGCUCAUGGUGAGAAGCCUGGAUCCACUCGUCUGGGGGUCACAGGGCCCACAACCCAUGCUCCUGGGGGUGACAGAGCAACACAGGCGACAUGGUGUCUUUAUACCACUGCCCAGGAAUUGCUGGUUACCUGAUCUUUUACAUCAUCAGUUCCUUACUUUGGAUGUCAUUCAUAGGGAGUAUCCUUGACACGCUUUGAAGGAGGAGGCCCUGCCCGUACCCCUCCCUCCCUGCUGACGGAGCCUUCUAGAUCAUCCUAAGUGCUAUGACACACAGCGCGUCCUGUGGCCAAACAGCAGGGCCCUUUCCUGGAAUCCUUUUUCAGCCAGCUCAAAGUAAAAACACCCUCCAUCACACCACUCCAUCCAGUGACCUGCCUCUCCUGGAUCGGUAAGUGGAAGGUGAAAGUGUUAAGCUAGCUGUUAAACUUUGCACCCAAACCUGGGUAGGGAGGAAACGAAUGCCUUAGAAGCCCCAGGCAGGUGUAGGAAGGAGCCUCAGAAACCCUUGCUGCAUUCACCACCAGAUGGCACAGGUGCCCUCUGGGAAAUUUCUGGAGCCCUAGCGGCCAUAUGAGUUGACAUGUGUUUGAUGAACAGACUGUACUGUGUUUUGCUCUACAGAUGUUUAGCCUUAAGACCCUUGAAUGGAACUCCAACCGUGAUGGCGCUGCCAACACUCUUCCCUCUCCCCCCUCCUCACAUAGUGUUGCUUAAAGAGGAGACCCCCGAGGGCCUGCUCAGGCCCCCUACACGGCCUCUCCUCUGUCACUCCGUCACUGCACUGCCUUCUCGCUCGCGUCAAUAAAAAUGACCUUCACCAGCUCUCGUGCCCUCUAACUGGAUGAGAUCUCAGCGUCCCCCCAGCACGAACCACAGCCAUCAGAGACAGCACCCAGGGUGUUCAUGUUGAGAUGUUUCAACUGACUGCGCCUCCAGCUUAACUUAGUUUCAAAUGAAACUUCAUUCUCACGUGAGCCUAUUGGACUUAUUCUGGAACCUCUAGAACUGGACCUGACUACCCCACAGGUACCAGACCGGUGGGUGCCCUCCCCCACUACCCACCAGGAAGUGUUUCUUGGAGCCACUAUCUUUUUAUCUGUGACUUCAGAGUCAGCCAACAGAUCCACUAGUCAUUCAAGGAGAUGUUCAUGGAUCUUGUUAUCAGGAUAUGAACUGCUUUUAUAUGAAGAAAGAUGCACCCCCUCCCCCCCCAAUGAAUUCACUCUCACUAUUCAGACACUGUGUGUGUGCAUCCGUCAGAGACUGUCCCACAUUUCGCCAGUCCUUUGAGGACACGUCUGCUCACGAGCGGUUCGUCAUUUUGGGACUCCUCCUUGUAUUAACACUCUUGCCAUUGAGUCCUGCCAAAUCCUCCAUUGGAUUUCUCUUCUUCCUUUGUAUCUGUCAUUUAGUCCAAAGGAGCAUGAAUCAAUCAACAGAAGUGCAAAUGAGCUGAUACUAUCUUUGUGGUCAACUGAGGACGCUGCCAAAACUCUGCUGUCUGACUGCAACCCGGGGACAUGAAGAGGAACGGGUGGCCCCACCACUGAUAUUCCCUUCUCAACAUUUUUAAAUAAGCACAAGUGAUAUUUGUAAAAAGAAAAAAAAAAGUUUAAUUUUAUUUAUUAUGGUAAAUAAACUAUUUUAUAAUGAUCAUACAUGAUUGCUUUUGCCUUUCCUUGUAUAAACUUCCAGGCACUGAAUUAGGUGAAUUACCUAAGAUAAAAGAACUAGGUGGUACUUUCAUAGACCUUUUCAAAAGCCUUGGGACCUCUAAUUUGG
ensembl:lncRNA